rnacentral:sRNA from 1 species
UAUUGUGUGCCCUACCCUUUAUGCUCAA